CCGUGAGAGAGAAAUCCAAAGAAACUGAGACGGUAGGAGAUAAAACUAAAGAGACUGAGAGACAGAGAGCAGAAAGCUAGAGCCAGGGUUGAGAAGCUAGUGAGAGAGACCAAGAGAGUCUAAGUGGGCGAACCUGAGCCAAAUGACGUGGAGGCCGUGACAUUCGACCAGUCUUGGCCCUGGGAGUCGCUCAGAGCGCCAUGGGUCGAGCCCAUUUGUUCUGGACGCUUAGAAACCCAGCCGGGUCUUAACGGGAGUUGGGACUCGCUGCUGAGACUUCGGAUCCUGUACAACUUAACCCUGCAAGUUUCCCUGGUCCAGUAUCUGUUGCCAUGGCCUGGGGUCUAGGCUGAGAGGCCUCUUCAGCUGGGAAGAAAACCCAUCUCUCCUGGGCUUGUCUUAUCUUGCUGUGCUGAGUCAAAGGAAGUGCCUUUUGUAAAGGUCACAAACUCCGGGACCUGGCCAGAGGACCCCACCUACAGUGGAGUCUGCGGGAUUUUGUGGCGGUCACAUCUCCUUCCUGAGGCCUCAGUGUCCACUUUAUAACUUGGGAUAAUAGCGAUCUCUUGGAGUAAUUGUGGUGGCGAGAAUCUGAAGAGAGGGAAGAUGUGGAACCUCUCAGCGGAGGAGCAAGGUCCUGCUAGCACAUCCACACCUUGGUGCCUGUGUGAACACUUGCCUCUACCGUGUGCUGGGGCUUCCCUGGCCCCAGCCAGAAGACACUAAGGGGCGUAUGUCUAAGAUGCCAGUCUCUUCUUUGCAGUUUCCAGUUCAAACUUUAUAGGACCAGAGGUUGAAUGACUCUCUCCCAAGCAAGCAGAUGGUGUAUCCCUGAGGUGGAAGUGCAGGUCCUGGGGCAAAUUUUGGGCAAGAUGGACCACUUGAAGGAAGCUGUGUAAGUAACAUGUUUAAGUCUGUUGAAUCUAGAAUCACACUGUCUCAGCUAAAUUCCUGACUCUGACACCAACUAUGUGACUUUGGCAAGUACUUCAACCUCUUGAGCUUUCAUUUCCAUAUCUGAAAAAUAGG
rnacentral:lncRNA from 1 species